CCCACGCAGAUGUUACUUCGGGUCACUUCUAGCAACAGGUCCGUGAGUGAGUGAAUGCUCCGUGGGUCUCAGCACAUUUGAAUCCCUCCUCCCCGAAUAUUCUUCCAGGACUUUCAGAACUGUUGAUGCGGGACUCAGACGUGUCCCAAAGUGUAUCCUCUGACUUAGCACUCUGACCUCAGGCUUGGCUCAGGAUGCUGGCCAUGCCUCCCAGUUUUGAGUCUCCAGUGUGUGGCUGAAUGUGACAUUCAGACUUUCCUAACUUGGAAACGUGAUGAUUUUGCUGCCUCAGAAAAAAUGACAUGCAAAUAUUUCCUUUUGCCUCCUGGAAGGGGAGAGUGAGAAUUUCCAGAUGUGGAGCAGAGGAAGUCCCUGUGAAGGAAAUGGCAAGAGGGAAUGAAGAAUCCCACCCAAACUGAGAAAGAUGGAAGGACACAUAGAACGGAACUGGGGGAAAAAUAACCAAAACGGAGCAUCCUGCACCAUCCGCAGAAGAUAACUGGGGGCUGGGCAUGGUGGGAGGUGAUGCGAGAGCAGCGGCAGAGCGAAUCUCACACAUCUGGGGUGAGACAGGACCCACCGUGCCGUGCACCAUCCUGGGAGAAAAUUGUGGCUCCACAGACACCUGCAGAGCCUGACCGGAGACUUCCCAGCCUGUGCAGCUGCGAGCAAUGCUUUUCUGUUCGUGAUAAGUUCCCCAGGCUCAGGUGUCCUGUUCUAGCAGCACAAAUGGACUCAGACAGGCUGCAAGCGGUUCAGAGACACACUAAAGAAAAGGAAACAAAAGGGUAGAAAUGCCCCAUAUUAUAAUCCCACAUAAAACUCAUGCCAUCGUUUUCUGUUAAAUAUAGAAAACAUCUAUUUAGUUAGUUCCACUGUACAUUCCCCCUUUUAAAAAACUUAUGUGUAUGUAUCUUAAGAACUUUAUUUUAUGUAUGGCCUACAAAUUUUAUUAAAUUUAAUAAAAAUUUAAAGAGUUAAGAUAAAUUACUGUAUCAAAGGACAGGAAAAACACUACUAAAAUAUUGCUAUGUUUUUCUCACACACAAUUUUCUUAAUUGGUCCUACUAUUAAUUGCCACUGUUAACUAGUCCUAGUUUUUAGUUUAAAUAAUAAAAUUUAUCAUUUUUUGUUUUGUUUAAAUAAUAGCAUUUACAUAACAGAAAAGUGAAUAAUAUAUAAUUUCAAAUAAACACCAUUUUUUAAUAAUUUUAUGUUAAAAUAAUCCGGGUUGGCUCUCUAAAAUUUUAAUCAUCCUCCUCUGUGGAGAAAACAGAGGGUCCAGAGGGAAAGGAGAGAGCCUCUGUGUCUCUUUUUUAUUACGUACAUG